GUGGAUAUUGCUCUGUGGUAGAGUACAUGCUUAGCAUGCAAAAGGUCCUGGGUUCAAUCCCCAGUACCCCA
rnacentral:tRNA from 1 species